CACCGACCCGGCGGAUCAGCUCAGCUCAGCUCCAGCCCGGCACCGCGCUCCGCCCUCAGGGCAGCGCCCCUCAGCGCCCCGCCCUUAUCAGCAGCGGGUCUGACUGUGUGUCAGUCUCCUCAGCCCCUCACAGGAUGACCGCCAUGUGCGGACCCUCAGCUCAUUACGAUAUCACCGCUCUCCUCUGCUCCCCCAGAGUUUCCCCCCUCAGAGUUUCCUCCGAGCAGCCUCCAGCUCCCUUAUCUGUGAGGUGAACGUGGCAGUGCUGCCAAGGAAACGCUGCGGUGCAUGUGGAGAAUAGGAAAUACAAGGGAAAAUGGACCUUUCUUCCCUCAUGUGGGUAUUAUUGUGUGACCUGCCCUAUUUCCAUCAGGCUGGUUUCAUAUCCUCGAGGCUCGGACCCCCAGCCCAAGACAAAAUGGUGCCUGGCGUGAAAGUGAGUGUGAAGCAAAGGUGUGGAGCUGAAUUCCUCUGUGUGGAGAAAAUGGUGCCUGCUGACAUUCACUGAUGUUCAUGGAGACCCAACAGUAGCUGUGAGCACAGUAAGAGCUGAAGGCACGGAGAACAGUUUAUUUCCGAUUUUAACAUCAGUAGUGCCUUAUGGUGGGAAGUAUUUAAAUGCUGCCCAUCGCUGAGGAAGAAUGGCUGUGAGAUGAGCAGAUCCCUUCGUGGUUGUCCUGAAUUUCUGCAUCUGUAAUGUCUCGGAAGACUCAUUAUUAAUACCCCAAAAUAGGGAACUUAAAAUGUGAAGUCAUCCUCAGUGCAUUGUGUAGAAAAUGAAUGUGUUAACCUCUGCUCUGGAUCAUGCUGCUGUCUCAGCACCGUGUCCCUGCUCACAAACAGGAUGUCACCUCCCUGUCGUUGAGUCCUGCAGGAGACGGGUGCAGCCAUCUGCCAAGGUGCAGAACAGAACCGCUUAAGAACUGAAUACAGAGAAUCAUCUGGAUGGCUGAAUUUGGAAUCAACCUCUGCUUUUCAAGAGGUCUGUGAAUGGGCUGGAGAAGCCUCGGUGAGAGCAAUUGGGCAACUUAAAAAUAUAGCCUGUGAGGAAGGCUUGAAAGGAUUUGGUGUGUUUAACCUGGGUAUGAUAAGGCAGAGAGGAAACAUGGCAGUAAAUAUGUGGCAGACUGAAGCAAAGAGAGAAUAAGUGAACUGCUGGAUAGAACAAAAUGUUGCGAGCCUACACUCCAGCUGAGGAGACGCCAGGAAGCCUUUCUCAUUGCCAAUAAUCUACUUCUAAAAGAAGAGUAAGAACUGUUGCACAACAAAGUCACAGCAGUGAGCAACUUGAUGGGAUAUAAAUGAGGGAGAUGAUCAAAAAAAGCCAGAUGGCAUAAGCCAGUGAAGGCCAAAUAAUUCAUCAUUCCACAGACUUGCAAUGGACUCGUCCCCAGAAGAGGCCUGGAAUGUUGGAAGUCUUUUCAUGCUGCUACAAUCCCCAGGAGACAGCCAGGCUCACGCUGAGACACACUGCAGGUGCUUGUGAAAUCAGGUGUCACUUCAGGUAAGCCCAACUACACAAUUCUUGAUGUUGUUUGUAUUAUUUCCAUAUUUGGAUUCAAGCAAUUUGGAGAUUAGUGAGUUGCCUGUGUUAGAAGACAAUAACGUGAUGAUGCUGGGCAUUGCCUCAGUGAAGUCCUGUUUACUUACAAAGUAUGCAAAAAUAUUCUUUCCAAAAGUAGUGGUUUAAAUGAAUCACAGAUUCUUGUGCACAGCACUUAGACCAAGAUUUUCACACACACAAAACAAGCUUUCUCAAAUGCAGUUUUUUCACCCUCCCUACCCCUAAUGUAUGUAGGUUUGCUUCUUUUCUCUCACACAAAUGCAAAGCUCCCCAUUUUAAAUGCCCUUUUUGCACUUUCUGCAUUAGUCCAGAGGGAAACAAUGUGGAUAAUGUGCAAUGUACGGAAGUUUUGCCAUGUGUCUGUCAUUUGAGUUGCUGUUGUUUCAGCUCUCUGAUUCCAGAGGGCUGUUUAUUUUUCAUGCUUAUUUUAAGGACAACGGUCACGGUUGCCCACCAACUUCUACGUAAUUCCAUGAAGCAGAUCUUCAUGUCAGCUUAGUAGGACAUUUACACCAGUAAUCUGAAUACUGGUUUUAACUAAACAUCUGUUGUGAAACACAUGCAUUCUUUUUAGAGCUGUCAUAUUAGUUUGUACUGAAAAACAGUCAUCCUUCCUUGCAUUUAAGACAUAGGCUUUCUCUUUAGAACUAUUUUUGCACAUUUCAUCUUCGUAUUUUAUUUCCUCAUAUGAAAAUGAGCCUUUUUUAACAACAGCAUACCACAUACAGCCCUUGGUGCUAUCUGAAAGCCUUAAUUUGAAGAACAAUUACAGCCCAAAUGCAUCUGUCAAGUAAGUGAAAGACCUCUAAAUCACAUAGGACUGACAAAAUGGAUGAAGAUGUAAUUGCUUCUGGUUUAGUUUGUUUUCUUCAUGAGGUUUUAAAGUCUCUCCUAGUGUUACUUGAUGCGGUUCCCUGCAUCCCACUCACUCACUCCAGUGGACUGGAUAAAUAAUUUUACCUUUGUGUACAUUUCCUCAGUGUUAUAACAGCAGUUUUUUAUCUUAAGGUUGAAAACAAGCAUGUCAAACCUGAAAUACCGAACAUUCUUCACAAACCCGCCACUUGGAAGUACUUUAUCUUGCAAUUAAGCUGAAGUUUACACCAAGUUCCAGAAGCAAAGCUAAUAUCUGCCUUUUAGACCACCAGCCAGCACAGCAGCAGGAAGGCUCUGGGGACUGGACUUAACCCACACAACCAUUUCACAAAGGCAGCUAAUAGGUAAAAACAGGUGCUCGGAGAUCAUAAGGCAUCACAACGUAUUAUCAGUUCCCUGAGAAAUGCGAUAUCCCUCUCUCUUUCCUCUCAUAAGGAUGCUUUAUUAUAAUUACAUAUCACUUUAUUAGGCAGCUGAAGCUAAGAGCACAUUUGAUGCUAAUGAAGUGCUGCUGUGGUUGAGUCUGUCACUAUUUUUGGACCUGCACAUCUCCAGCACUUUUGAUUGGGUGACUAUGAGGCUUUGGAUGUCUCUAGCUUCUUCUGUGGCAGAUGCUCAGUGAAAAGCAAUGACUCAGCUAGCCAGGAACGCAGAACUGUUUACAUGCUCAGAAUGAGAAAAGCUGUGGGACAGCAAGAAUGCACACAAAAGCUCUUUAUUUGGUGGAAGUACUUUUCAGGUAGUGGAUGGUAUUAUCUAGAUUGAAAAAUCCUUCUAAUACUAACACAGCUUCUCUCUUGGAUAUCUAUAUAGUCAUCAUUAUUCCUCUUUUCCAUCUCCCACCUCAAAUCAGUUCAGAAAAACGACUGAUCUCACAGGACUCAGGGAAAAGAUUUUAGUGGUUAAAAGCAAAACAAACCACAGCUACUCACAGGCUUUUUUGUUUCCCAUUAUGAAAGAUGAGGGUUUUGUUGUCCACUUUUCUCUGAUUUGAAGCCUGAAGAGCUGCUUGGCACAGUAAAAGCAUGGAUUUGGUAUUAACAAGUAGCGCCACUGCUCCCACACUGCAGUGACAGUACUGGGACAAAGGAGGCAGGAGAACCUGAGACAGUUUGUCUGUACCUAUGAAGACAGUUAAUUACCUUACCAAGUCACAUCCUGACAGCACAUUGAGAGUCAGGAGCAUCCCUACUUAAUAAACAAGAUUAAUUGGCCUGAUAGUAAUUUCAUGUUGAUUGAUACACAUAUGAGGAAUGUGUCAAAGUAAAUCAUAAUUAUAGAAAAGGCUGUUGUAUCUAAAUGAUUUGUUUCCUUAGGCCAACCCAUGUAGCUAUUUCCUUUCUAUAGCUUCCCCAUUCCAAAAGGGAAACAACUGAAGCAGGAGCAUCUCUUAACUGUUCCCUUAGAUUGCAACUGGACAAUUGAAUCUUGGUUUGCAGACUUUGCAACGUCACAUGGAGCUACAGACUAUAUUGAUCAAGGUCUGCAUUGUUUUUACCCUUUUCCCAUUUAUGUACUCCUGUGUACAAUUUUUCUUCAAGCAAGAUUUUUAAGUACAUUGCUUUGCUUCCUUUGGUAGUAUCAGCUAACUUGCUUUAGCACUAGCACUGAGAUGCAUGCAACACCUGCAUGUCUUUUUAGUUGAUUUACGCUAACAGGCCAGCCCCAUCACUGCUGUAAAAUCUCACAUCAAUUGAAAAGCCUCUGACUAUGCCCAUCAUCCAUCGAGCCACAGAAAACAGAUGUAACUCAUCACAAAAAUUGCUCUGAUGACAGUGAAAAAUAAAGACCAUCUUCCAGGAGCUGCACAGGGCAGAACCUGGCACAGAGCAAUGUGAGAUGCACACCCAGCAGCACAGGAGUGCUUGCUGCAUUUGGAUAAAGCUUGCUCAUUGGCUCCCUCUGCUGAACCACACUGAAAUGAAAUCUUUUAAAUUAAAGAGAAAGAUGGUGGAAGGGCAAUCAGUGCUACAUGCUUCCAUAUUCUAAUACCAGCCAGCAUUAGCUACAGAAAGAACUACAGUUCCUGAUCUGUGAGAUCCAAAGCCAGGUACUAUCUACAAAUCUAGACCCUUCCCUCAAUGCAUUUGUGACUACUACGUGAUGCAAUGCAGGCUUACACCUCAGUGAGGGCUGUAUUUCUCCCUUUUCUAGCCUCUUUUCACGAAGCUUGUAUGGAUUUGAUGAAAUCUUGACUCCUUGUCAAGUUUGACCCCACUGGCUACUCUCCUCUAGGAAUUAAUGGGAAAACAGAUGGCACAGUUAUAUAAGCCUCAUUUCCUGCAAGAGUCUGGCUAAGAAAGACCUCAAGCAUGCCAAAUUUGUUAAUAUAUACAUCCUCGGUUUUUGUAAGAACUGAGCUAUUACUAUCCAAACAUCUUUUUCCAGGUAUCUGAUAAUUGACCCCAACAGAGAAAGUAAGAGGACAGGAUGAUCUUUCUCUAGCUGCUUUCUGCCAUUUCCUAAGACUGGGAAAGUUUGUUGAAACUCCUCAAGUUUCCCAGGAGAGAAACACACUUGCCUUUCACUGACUUUUUAACUCAUUUCUGAGACUAUAGAAUUAACAAUCAUGCUUUUGCUCCCUGAUCUAAGCAGGUACUGCAGUAGCAAGGGUUCUUGCUUCACAACUAAGGAUGUUAGAGCCUACAGAUAAAGAACAGGAAGUAAAACACGGUAAUUAAACCCUACAAAACUCACUUUAGAAUAUUCCAGUGCUCCUACUUAAGAAAAGCAAGGCAUAGCUCUGGAAAUGCCUUUAAGAAGUUGCUGUUUUUGACAAGGUUUAUGUAGUGAUUGAUGGAUCAAAGCAGCUCAUCAGAAGUGCCAUUUGAACAAAGCUGCAUCCAAACUUUAAAAUGCUAAUGAGUUCCCUAGCAGGGGGGUGCUGCUACAACCUGCUUUUUCACAGACUCAGAAGAUUUCAGCAAUUAAGAUACACCAGGAGAGGCACUGAGCUGCAUGUUUAUUCUCAAACUUGUCCUGAAGAGUUAAGUAAAUCCAGCAUCUCUAUUCCAUUCCCAAAAACUUCCCCCCCCACAGCUCAUUUAUGGUUAAAACUAUUUGAAAUUCAAGUACUUGUUCCCUUUGUUAAUACCAACAGUAUUUUUAUAUGAACACCUCCAUCUCCAAAAAACCCCACAAAAUAAAGCACCAUAA